rnacentral:lncRNA from 1 species
UGACAAGAAAUAAUUGGCUUGUGAGAAUCAACAUUGAAGCUGGAAAAAUGAUGGCAUCCGAACAAGUAGACACAGCCCUAGUCAAGGCAAUAAACUACACUAAAGACAGAGGAGAAAGACUCAAAGUUGUUCUAACAUGGGUUCUCCAACUUCUGAAAUCCAUCCAGAAACUCCCUGUAUUUGGUUAUUCACAUCACUCCAGCUGACAGCCAACCAACAAACAGCCAGACACGUGAGCCCAACCAAGAUCAGAAGAACUGUCCCACUGAGCAUAGUCUAAAUUGCUAACAUGCAAAUGCAUGACCACAGCAAGGUAAUCUUACAGCCCAGGACUCAGCUGCUGCAAUCUCUGUGAAAGGUACUUAUGACUAAUGCUGAUGCCACCAUGAAGCUCAGGAAACAAUUUACAGGGACAUGGGCUGUUCUGAGACCCCACAGCCAUGAAUCGCCUAAUCAUUCUGACAGAUUUCUGCAGAUGCUGUGCUCAGGUCACUGAGUUUCCCAGUUGUCAGUGGUGAACUGGAGCGGAGGCAGAAGGAAACUCUUCAGACACACUGUUCCCUUCAGGAAACAAGGGACAAAAGGGCUGCCCUGAGGAGACUUGGGAAAGUGACAUUUCCUCAGGCUCGAGGACAUCCCGAGGUUCUGCUCAUGAAACAGAGACAACCAUGUGUGGUGCCUGCAUUCUUGGCCUGCGGGGAGUGGAAAGGAGACAAAGAGUAAAACACGGUGGGAAAGAAGAAAAAGAGGUUAAGAAAAGCAAAUGUGCCUACUCCAGGUCGCUCAAGAUGACCACAGGAAGGUUGUCAUCUUCAUGUCUAAAAGCCAGUUGACACUCAAGGGUGUCAUUUCACUUCAGUGAAAUGAGAAGCUUCACAGAUGUGUAGACUCUGAAAAAUCUAACUGGAAAACAAUACAGGGAAAUAGCAAUACUAGGCAUCAAAGCAGCAAAAAAACUACUCAAUUAUCUGAUAUGGGGAUUAUCAAUGGAAUAAAUGUGGGGUUUGUUGUUUGUUGUUGGGAUUGUUGUGGGUUUUGUUUCAUUUUUUAGGGUCUCACUUUUCUCCACCAAUUAGAUCUGUGCUGUGAGCCACACAGGUUUUGAGUACAUGUUUUGGGACUUUAUAUCGGUCAGACUUUGCCAUGGUAACACUGUGUAACGAGCAGCCCCAAAAAUCUCAGUGGUGGUCAAAAGCAAACCUUUAUUUCUCAUUCAUGGGUUUUCAGUUUGUUCAGGCUAAAAGUAAAAUACACAGAUUCUUCACCUGUCUUUCAUUCCAUGCUGAAGGAGCAAUUGACUGCCUGGGACAUACUUUUCUCAUAACAGAGGCAAGGGUGAAAAACACCAAGUCAUCUUGAUUAUGCAAUCCCAUUUUUAAUGUAAACAAUGUCAUGUCUGCUUCUAUUUCAUUGAGCAAAGCAAGUCAUAUAGGCAAGCCCAACAUCAGUGGGGUGAUAAAGCACACUCUCCAAUGGAAGGAGGAGGGGAGCAUGAUCAUUUGCUGAACAGUAAUGCAAGAUAGCACAAGACUUGUCUGGGGUGAGAGAGAGAUCAAAGCUGUGGAUCCCACCCAGUCUUCAACCAAAGCAAUGUGGCUUUGACCUGUUUUCUGUCUUGGACUUGAAUAAUACUUUAUUUGAAAGAAGUGUUAAAUUGUUUAUUAAAAAAAAAGACAAGUUUGAAAACCACUGUUUCCAAGUCGCUUAUUUUGCCAAUAAAGAAUCUGGGGUCAAAGGGUAAAUGCCUUGCUGAUUGUAUCUGUCUCAGGACCAGGGCUAUGAGAUUUAAAGUCAACCAGAUCUGGAUUUUCAAACCUAGCUCUACCAUGUUUUAGCGGAGACACUCUGGACAUGUUCACUAUCCUUUCAUCAUCACAGGCAAGGGUCUGUCCAGUGCCCUAAGUCCUAGGGCUCUCCAGUUGCUAACCACACUGAAGGGAUGAAAUGUAUGAGUGGGCCCUCCACUGGUGUGAUCUGUAAUCAGAAUGGGAAAGACUCUCUUUGCUCCACCAUGUCCGUGGGAUGAGAUGGAAAAGUGCACCAUUCCUGGUGGUGAUGCUUCUAUUUAAAAUACUGCUAAACUGAGUUUCCUUCCUUGCUCUUCUCUCUCCCUUUCUUUGACAAACCUAUGCAUGACUCGAGUAUACAGCUAUCUCCCCUAGUGGAGCACAGGCUUUUUGGAGGAUAAGGGUCACUCUUUCCAUGUUUAUUUCUUCCCACGCCUACACCUCACACCUCAUUCCAACUCCACAGCACAAUAACCAUCCUAUCUUCACAGCAGCAGAGAUUAUGUAAAUGGUUAUAAAUUAAAUAAUA